GUUCGAUAAUAGCAAAACUGAUGAAAAUCAGUGACGCAAAGCUAAAGGGACUGAAUUGGAACAUUCAAUAUGUCAGCCAGCUGCCGAA
rnacentral:ncRNA from 1 species